rnacentral:rRNA from 1 species
GCAUAUCAAUAAGCGGAGGAAAAGAAACCAACAGGGAUUGCCCUAGUAACGGCGAGUGAAGCGGCAACAGCUCAAAUUUGAAAUCUGGCUCUCGGGCCCGAGUUGUAAUUUGUAGAGGAUGCUUUUGAUGCGGUGCCUUCCGAGUUCCCUGGAACGGGACGCCAUAGAGGGUGAGAGCCCCGUCUGGUUGGAUGCCAAAUCUCUGUAAAGCUCCUUCGACGAGUCGAGUAGUUUGGGAAUGCUGCUCUAAAUGGGAGGUAUAUGUCUUCUAAAGCUAAAUACCGGCCAGAGACCGAUAGCGCACAAGUAGAGUGAUCGAAAGAUGAAAAGCACUUUGAAAAGAGAGUUAAAAAGUACGUGAAAUUGUUGAAAGGGAAGCGUUUAUGACCAGACUUGGGCUUGGAUAAUCAUCUGGGGUUCUCUCCAGUGCACUUUUCCAGUCCAGGCCAGCAUCAGUUUUCGCCGGGGGAUAAAGGCUUCGGGAAUGUGGCUCUCUCCGGGGAGUGUUAUAGCCCGUUGCGUAAUACCCUGGCGGGGACUGAGGUUCGCGCAUCUGCAAGGAUGCUGGCGUAAUGGUCAUCAACGACCCGUCUUGAAACACGGACCAAGGAGUCGUCUUCGUAUGCGAGUGUUCGGGUGUCAAACCCCUACGCGUAAUGAAAGUGAACGCAGGUGAGAGCUUCGGCGCAUCAUCGACCGAUCCUGAUGUUCUCGGAUGGAUUUGAGUAAGAGCAUACGGGGCCGGACCCGAAAGAAGGUGAACUAUGCCUGUGUAGGGUGAAGCCAGAGGAAACUCUGGUGGAGGCUCGCAGCGGUUCUGACGUGCAAAUCGAUCGUCAAACAUGGGCAUGGGGGCGAAAGACUAAUCGAACCUUCUAGUAGCUGGUUUCCGCCGAA